ACCUUUGAGGGAGAGAUGAGCUCUUCUGCAUGUCCAGAUGCCUGCUGUUGCUUGGGAUGAUGCAUGUGAGCUUGUGCGGUCUCUUCCCACCGGAGGGCACAGGACACCAUUCUCCAGCAGAUCUGUUCCAGGCAUCUCCUUCUCUCAAGGCAAAGAACAGUACCCCUGUGUCCAGAUACUGUCUCACUUUGUUCUCUGCUGGAACAUGAGGAGCUUCAUUGUCCUUCAAGUUGCCCAGAGUCUGUUUUGGAGCUAUGGACUGGAGAGUAUACAGUUCUCCAUGAAAUCUGUUUGGACCCUGACCUUGUCUGUCUGCCUGUCAGGACUCUCAGACCUUGUCUCAGUAACUUUUGAACCUGCUGCUCAAUUUUAAAUAAAUUUAGAAGCUGGACGAAACUUCUGUAAAUACAAAAUUACUACAAGUUGUGUGAAAAUAUGUUGGUGUGUAAAGAGGAAAAAUUCCAGAAAAGAACCAUCCGCAUGCAAUAUGAAGCAGAGUGAAACCCUCACUGAAGAAACAGUAAGGACGGAGCUGCAGGGGACAAAACUCUGUAAGCUCUGCUGUUCAUGGAACUGCUUUUAUUUUCCAUUUUCUUCUGUUUAAAGAAGGAAUUGCUUCUCCA
rnacentral:lncRNA from 1 species